rnacentral:tRNA from 1 species
UGGGGAGUGGUGUAACGGUAACACGCCAGACUUUGGAUCUGCGCGACUCAAGGUUCGAAUCCUUGCUCCCCAGCCA